UAGGGAAUCUUCCACAAUGGACGCAAGUCUGAUGGAGCAACGCCGCGUGAGUGAAGAAGGUCUUCGGAUCGUAAAACUCUGUUGUUAGAGAAGAACACGAGUGAGAGUAACUGUUCAUUCGAUGACGGUAUCUAACCAGCAAGUCACGGCUAACUACGUGUCCAG
rnacentral:rRNA from 1 species